rnacentral:rRNA from 1 species
GAUGAACGCUGGCGGCGUGCCUAGUACAUGCAAGUCGAGCGAACAGACGAGGAGCUUGCUCCUCUGACGUAAGCGGCGGACGGGUGAGUAACACGUGGAUAACCUACCUAUAAGAAUGGGAUAACUUCGGGAAACCGGAGCUAAUACCGGAUAAUAUAUUGAACCGAAUGGUUCAAUAGUGAAAGACGGUUUUGCUGUCACUUAUAGAUGGAUCCGCGCCGCAUUAGCUAGUUGGUCAGGUAACGGCUUACCAAGGCUACGAUGCGUAGCCGACCCGAGAGGGUGACAGGCCAUACUGGAACUGAGCCACGGUCCAGGCUGCUAAGGGAGGGACCAGUAGGGGAUCGGCCGCGAGGGGCGAGAGCCUGCAGGACCCACGCCGUGUGGGUGAGGAAGGACUUCGGAUCGUGAAUCUUUGUUCUUACGGAAGACCACUUGUGUAAGUAACUAUGCACGUCUUGAGGUUAACCACUCAGAAAGCCACGGCUAACCACGUG